UACGGGGGAGCAAGCGUUGUUCGGAUUUACUGGGCGUAAAGGGCGCGUAGGCGGCCACCGCAAGUCGACUGUGAAAUCUCCGGGCUUAACCCGGAAAGGUCAGCCGAUACUGCGGGCUAGAGUGCAGAAGGGCAACUGGAAUUCUCGGUGUAGCGGUGAAAUGCGUAGAUAUCGAGAGGAACACCUGCGGCGAAGGCGGGUUGCUGGCUGACACUGACGCUGAGGCGCGAAAGCUAGGGAGCGAACGGG
rnacentral:rRNA from 1 species